rnacentral:misc_RNA from 1 species
AAAGUCGUAACAAGGUUUCCGUAGGUGAACCUGCGGAAGGAUCAUUACAGAAUUGUGCCUAGCACCUUUCAACGUAUGUGAACUGUGAACUGAACUUGGCGGGAAGUGUUGGGUCGCAAGACCUGACGGCCCGCCGAUAUUAACAACCUUUAACAAAAGUACUGAACUUGUAUUAAACAAAGACAACUUUUAGCAACGGAUCUCUAGGCUCUC